rnacentral:rRNA from 1 species
GAACGCUGGCGGCGUGCUUAACACAUGCAAGUCGAACGGAAAGGCCCUUCGGGGUACUCGAGUGGCGAACGGGUGAGUAACACGUGGGUGAUCUGCCCUGCACUCUGGGAUAAGCCUGGGAAACUGGGUCUAAUACCGGAUAGGACCACACACUUCAUGGUGAGUGGUGCAAAGCUUUUGCGGUGUGGGAUGAGCCCGCGGCCUAUCAGCUUGUUGGUGGGGUAAUGGCCCACCAAGGCGACGACGGGUAGCCGGCCUGAGAGGGUGACCGGCCACACUGGGACUGAGAUACGGCCCAGACUCCUACGGGAGGCAGCAGUGGGGAAUAUUGCACAAUGGGCGCAAGCCUGAUGCAGCGACGCCGCGUGAGGGAUGACGGCCUUCGGGUUGUAAACCUCUUUCAGUAGGGACGAAGCGAAAGUGACGGUACCUACAGAAGAAGGACCGGCCAACUACGUGCCAGCAGCCGCGGUAAUACGUAGGGUCCGAGCGUUGUCCGGAAUUACUGGGCGUAAAGAGCUCGUAGGUGGUUUGUCGCGUUGUUCGUGAAAACUCACAGCUUAACUGUGGGCGUGCGGGCGAUACGGGCAGACUAGAGUACUGCAGGGGAGACUGGAAUUCCUGGUGUAGCGGUGGAAUGCGCAGAUAUCAGGAGGAACACCGGUGGCGAAGGCGGGUCUCUGGGCAGUAACUGACGCUGAGGAGCGAAAGCGUGGGUAGCGAACAGGAUUAGAUACCCUGGUAGUCCACGCCGUAAACGGUGGGUACUAGGUGUGGGUUUCCUUCCUUGGGAUCCGUGCCGUAGCUAACGCAUUAAGUACCCCGCCUGGGGAGUACGGUCGCAAGACUAAAACUCAAAGGAAUUGACGGGGGCCCGCACAAGCGGCGGAGCAUGUGGAUUAAUUCGAUGCAACGCGAAGAACCUUACCUGGGUUUGACAUGCGCAGGACGUAUCUAGAGAUAGGUAUUCCCUUGUGGCCUGCGUGCAGGUGGUGCAUGGCUGUCGUCAGCUCGUGUCGUGAGAUGUUGGGUUAAGUCCCGCAACGAGCGCAACCCUUGUCCUAUGUUGCCAGCGGGUAAUGCCGGGGACUCGUAGGAGACUGCCGGGGUCAACUCGGAGGAAGGUGGGGAUGACGUCAAGUCAUCAUGCCCCUUAUGUCCAGGGCUUCACACAUGCUACAAUGGCCAGUACAGAGGGCUGCGAAGCCGCAAGGUGGAGCGAAUCCCUUAAAGCUGGUCUCAGUUCGGAUUGGGGUCUGCAACUCGACCCCAUGAAGUCGGAGUCGCUAGUAAUCGCAGAUCAGCAACGCUGCGGUGAAUACGUUCCCGGGCCUUGUACACACCGCCCGUCACGUCAUGAAAGUCGGUAACACCCGAAGCCAGUGGCCUAACCUUUUGGAGGGAGCUGUCGAAAGU